rnacentral:rRNA from 1 species
UACGGGGGGGGCAAGCGUUGUUCGGAAUUACUGGGCGUAAAGGGCUCGUAGGCGGCCAACUAAGUCAGACGUGAAAUCCCUCGGCUUAACCGGGGAACUGCAUCUGAUACUGGAUGGCUUGAGUUCGGGAGAGGGAUGCGGAAUUCCAGGUGUAGCGGUGAAAUGCGCAGAUAUCAGGAGGAACACCGGUGGCGAAGGCGGUUCUCUGGGCCUUACCUGACGCUGAGGAGCGAAAGCAUGGGGAGCAAACAGG